rnacentral:rRNA from 1 species
GACGAACGCUGGCGGCGUGCUUAACACAUGCAAGUCGAACGGAAAGGCUCCAGCUUGCUGGAGUACUCGAGUGGCGAUCGGGUGAGUAACACGUGGGUAAUCUGCCCUGCACUCUGGGAUAAGCCUGGGAAACUGGGUCUAAUACUGGAUAUGACCUUUCUCCUUAUGGGGUUUGGUGGAAAGUUUUUCGGUGUAGGAUGAGCCCGCGGCCUAUCAGCUUGUUGGUGGGGUGAUGGCCUACCAAGGCGACGACGGGUAGCCGGCCUGAGAGGGUGAUCGGCCACAUUGGGACUGAGAUACGGCCCAGACUCCUACGGGAGGCAGCAGUGGGGAAUAUUGCACAAUGGGCGGAAGCCUGAUGCAGCGACGCCGCGUGAGGGAUGACGGCCUUCGGGUUGUAAACCUCUUUCAGCAGGGACGAAGCGUAAGUGACGGUACCUGCAGAAGAAGCACCGGCUAACUAUGUG